rnacentral:rRNA from 1 species
UGGGGAAUAUUGGACAAUGGGCGAAAGCCUGAUCCAGCCAUGCCGCGUGUGUGAAGAAGGUCUUCGGAUUGUAAAGCACUUUAAGUUGGGAGGAAGGGCAGUAAGCGAAUACCUUGCUGUUUUGACGUUACCGACAGAAUAAGCACCGGCUAACUCUGUGCCAGCAGCCGCGGUAAUACAGAGGGUGCGAGCGUUAAUCGGAUUUACUGGGCGUAAAGCGUGCGUAGGCGGCUAAUUGAGUCGGAUGUGAAAUCCCCGAGCUUAACUUGGGAAUUGCAUUCGAUACUGGUUAGCUAGAGUGUGGGAGAGGAUGGUAGAAUUCCAGGUGUAGCGGUGAAAUGCGUAGAGAUCUGGAGGAAUACCGAUGGCGAAGGCAGCCAUCUGGCCUAAUACUGACGCUGAGGUACGAAAGCAUGGGGAGCAAACAGG